rnacentral:misc_RNA from 1 species
GAUGAAGAACGUAGCGAAAUGCGAUACUUGGUGUGAAUUGCAGAAUCCCGUGAACCAUCGAGUCUUUGAACGCAAGUUGCGCCCGAAGCCAUCAGGUUGAGGGCACGUCUGCCUGGGCGUCACAUAUCGUUGCUCGAUGCCUAUCGCAUUGCGAUAGGACUUAGGGCGAAUGAUGGCUUCCCGUGAGCGUUGUUGCCUUGCGGUUGGUUGAAAAUCGAGUCCUUGGUAGGGUGUGCCAUGAUAGAUGGUGGUCGAGUUAGAACGAGACCGAUCAUGUGCAUGCUCCCCAAAAUAUGGCCUCUGUGACCCACACGCGUCUUUUGACGCUCAUGACGAGACCUCAGGUCAGGCGGGGCUACCCGCUGAAUUUAAGCAUAUCAAUAAGCGGAGGA